rnacentral:rRNA from 1 species
CUCGUAGUUGGAUUUCUCGGUGGGAGUGGCCGGUCCGCCGUAAGGUGUGUACUUGGUUGUCUCCCGUCAUCCUUGUGGGAACUGCUCUGGCAUUAAGUUGUCGGGGUUAGGGAACACAUCGUUUACUGUGAAAAAAUUAGAGUGUUUAAAGCAGGCUUAUGCCGUUGAAUACAUUAGCAUGGAAUAAUAAGAUAGGACUUUGGCGUCUAUUUUGUUGGUUUGCACACCAAGGUAAUGAUUAAUAGGGAUAGUUGGGGGUAUUCGUAUUUAAUUGUCAGAGGUGAAAUUCUUGGAUUUAUGAAAGACGAACUUCUGCGAAAGCAUUUACCAAAGAUGUUUUCAUUAAUCAAGAACGAAAGUUAGGGGAUCGAAGAUGAUUAGAUACCAUCGUAGUCUUAACCAUAAACUAUGCCGACUAGGGAUUGGCGGUCGUUCAUUUAUGACUCCGUCAGCACCUUAUGAGAAAUCAAGUCUUUGGGUUCCGGGGGGAGUAUGGUCGCAAGGCUGAAACUUAAAGGAAUUGACGGAAGGGCACCACCAGGAGUGGAGCCUGCGGCUUAAUUUGACUCAACACGGGGAAACUUACCAGGUCCAGACAUAGUAAGGAUUGACAGAUUGAGAGCUCUUUCUUGAUUCUAUGGGUGGUGGUGCAUGGGCGUUCUUAGUUGGUGGAGUGAUUUGUCUGGUUAAUUCCGUUAACGAACGAGAC